UGGCGGCACGCCUAACACAUGCAAGUCGAACGAAGUAGCAAUACUUAGUGGCAGACGGGUGAGUAACAUGUAGGUAUCUGCCCUAUGGCCUGGAAUAACACGAGGAAACUUGUGCUAAUACCGGAUAAGUCUUUACGGAGAAAGCUUUAUGCACCAUUGGAUGAGCCUGCACUUGAUUAGUUUGUUGGUGGGGUAAUGGCCUACCAAGACUGUGAUCAAUAGCUGAUUUGAGAGGAUGAUCAGCCACAUUGGGACUGAGACACGGCCCAAACUCCUACGGGAGGCAGCAGUGGGGAAUCUUGCACAAUGGAGGAAACUCUGAUGCAGCGAUGCCGCGUGAGUGAAGAAGGCCUUUGGGUUGUAAAGCUCUUUCGUCGGGGAAGAAAAUGACUGUACCCGAAUAAGAAGGUCCGGCUAACUUCGUGCCAGCAGCCGCGGUAAUACGAAGGGACCUAGCGUAGUUCGGAAUUACUGGGCUUAAAGAGUUCGUAGGUGGUUGAAAAAGUUGGUGGUGAAAUCCCAGAGCUUAACUCUGGAACUGCCAUCAAAACUUUUCAGCUAGAGUAUGAUAGAGGAAAGCAGAAUUUCUAGUGUAGAGGUGAAACUC
rnacentral:rRNA from 1 species